UCCACCCACCUUGGCCUCCCAGAGUGCUGGAAUUACAGGCAUGAGCCACCGCAUCCAGCCCCGUGUUUUUUAUUGGUUAAUUUUGAAGCUAAAACCUCACCACAUGUGCUACCUGGAAGCACUGUCACCUAGUGGUAAGCUCAUAGGCUCUGGGGACACAGACUGGCCACACCUCUUCUCUUGUCUGAGUGCUGGUAUCCUCUUUUGUGGUCGUGAGAACUGAAGAUCUAUCCUGAAGAUUGAUAAGACAGUAAAGUGCUUCACAUAAUACCUGGCAUACAUAUAAUAAAGGCUGCCUGUUUAUAUUUUUAUUCUAUUCUUUAUUUGGUGCUAUUCUGCAUUAAAAUAAUUUCUUAUUACAGUUUUAUAAAUUUACUAUGACAUUUUUGCAAAUGUUAGUGUUUUUCACGAAGUGAAAUGGGUUAUGUUGUGGGGCUUUUGUUGUGAUGGUGAUUUAUUAGAUUAUUUUGUAUACAAGACAAUACAUAAUGUUCAUCAGCUGUUGUGAAAUUAUAAAAACGUCUUCACAUUUUAUAAUUUCAAAGCAAUAUGAAUGAUAAUUGCCUUAGGGAGAGAGAUUUUCAUUGUGACAUAUAAAUACGAUAUUCAAGUUUAGUGUACGAUAGUGGACAUUAACUCAAACUUAACGCUAGCGUAUAACAUGGUGCACUUGAAGUUUUAGUACAAAUAUGAAUGUUUAGGAAAUAAGACUAUUGCACACAAUAAUAGC